UACGUAGGGGGCGAGCGUUGUCCGAAUUUACUGGGCGUAAAGCGCGCGUAGGCGGGCUCUUAAGUUGGGGGUGAAAUCCCGGGGCUCAACCCCGGAACUGCCUUCAAAACUGGGAGCCUAGAGCUGUGGAGAGGGAAGUGGAAUUCCUGGUGUAGCGGUGAAAUGCGUAGAUAUCAGGAGGAACACCCGUGGCGAAGGCGGCUUCCUGGCCACACGCUGACGCUGAGGUGCGAAAGCCAGGGUAGCGAACGGGAUUAGAUACC
rnacentral:rRNA from 1 species